rnacentral:lncRNA from 1 species
GCAAUGGAACAAUGGAGGCAGGAGGAGGCGAUGGUAUGAGUGGAGGGAAGAAAAACUCAGGAUGGGCUGGUUUUUGAUUCAGCAGUUGAGGUGCAUUCAUGGAGGAUUGAGGUAGUUUGGACUGGGGUUUAGGUGGAAACUUUGGUAGGCCAGGGAGGGGUGGGAGUGGUGGAAGCGUGGGAAGUAGAGGAAGCGGUGGGAAAUAGUACUGAUUUGUGGGUGGAAGGUCUGGGGUUUGAAUUGGUGGUGGGAAUUGGAUUGGAUCAUUAGGAGGAUAUAAAGAUUUUAUGGAACCCAGUUGCUUUGAGUUUCCCACGCUUGGUUUCUG